UACGUAGGGUCCGAGCGUUGUCCGGAAUUAUUGGGCGUAAAGGGCUCGUAGGCGGUUUGUCGCGUCGGGAGUGAAAACACGGGGCUUAACCCCGUGCCUGCUUCCGAUACGGGCAGACUAGAGGUAUGCAGGGGAGAACGGAAUUCCUGGUGUAGCGGUGAAAUGCGCAGAUAUCAGGAGGAACACCGGUGGCGAAGGCAGGUCUCUGGGCCGAUACUGACGCUGAUGCACGAAAGCGUGGGGAGCAAACAGG
rnacentral:rRNA from 1 species